UCCGUACAAGUAAAAUGAGGCCAAUGAAAGUUGAUGAGCUGAGGAAAUAGAGUAAAAAAUCAAAGUGCCUCUUUGCUUGAAACAGCCAGACUUCGGGGUUUAGGCCACUGAAACGGGGUAGUUCAACCACAGCUAGUUUGUGUCUCAUCAUCACUGAUGCCGCUGGGGAAGCUCUGUGAAACAAACACAUCUCUACUGAAAGGAUAUGAGUUGGUUCUACUGCCGCUGUCUACGAGGGUACGUUAAUGAAGUCUUGCAACAGUUUCUGUUGGUUAUCGAAAACAAAAUACAGAUACGCAACUGGGGAAGAUGGAUCUGCAAAUUGCUGUUGAUAAACACCAUUAUUAGAAGAUUUGAGUUUUGAAUCACCCAUGGAGUCCGCUGGAUGAAAAGCACCAAUGUAACAAAUAAAUAAAUCUGUGCCAACUUCUUGAUUGAAUAUUCAAAUGCAACUAUUACAAACUAGGAACUCUGUCUAGAAAAAGGAAACUGCAGAAAUAAAUACGAAGCUGAAUGGAAUUAGAAAUAAGAAGGAAACUUGGAGAAGAAGUGCGGGAAGAGAACCUAGACAAUACUGAUAACUAACUGCCUACCCAUUUUCCUCAUAUUCCCUGCUAUUUGCAACCACUCUGGACCUUCUUCCUGAUCAUUCUUGUGCUGAGUCACCCUUCCAAAUGAAAUCAGCUAGUCUUCUACUGGGUUGUUUAAUUCUAUUACUUCUUCUUAGAUUAGUUCCAGACCUAAUAUUCUCUUCAAACGACUCCACCCCAGGCCCACACAUUUCUUCAUCUGAUUCUAGGCCCAAUUCUUGAACUGCAGCUCUAACUUCUCAUCCUCCUGAGAAUUUGAUUAAUUGAUUUCAUUUUAUUUUCAUAUCCAAAAUUUGUCAUGAACAAAUUAAUAGCACAUCAGUUGGGACCAACUAUGUCCUUCAUGUCUUCCUGUCUGCGCAAGCUAAAUCAACAUGCUUCAUUUUCUACGUUCCUUUUUAGGGGGUAAAAUUCAUUCUGCAAAGUUGGUUCAGUGGUUCCUCUAGAAGUUGAUAUAAUAUGAAUUAAUGCGUUAGAAAGGGAGGCAGAGAAUUCCAGGAAUGUAGUCUUCUUCUUUUUCAUCAUCCAGGAAUGUAAACAAAAUUUGCAAAUAUUCUACUAGAUGACUUAGCUUAAUUAAAAUGAAAAAGAAAUAUAAUAGUUCUAUAUUUUAAAUAGAAGAUUGGUACAAUUAUAUGUCUUCUCUUCUUUCCUUAAUUUUAAUUUGCUUCCACAUAUUUCAACCCCAAUAGGCCAAUACAAUGUAAAGGUUUUUUUGGUUGGUCUUAUGACAGGCUGCAAUUGGCGAAGCCAUAAUAAAAGGUAUAGGUUCGGUAGAACAUAGUUUAGCUCAAAACCUGUAGUUUAAUAAAGAAAUUCACUUUAUAUACAACAAUGAACCAAAUAAGGCAAAAAAGUUAUGGCCAAAAUGCAUAAACUUAAAAUCUUGAAUCCAACUAUAUUUAACGCAGCCCAACUUCAUAUUAUAACAAGUAUGCUUCAAAAUGCGAACUAGGUUUUAAUUAAUAUUGCUCCAAGAGAUGAGAAGAAUCAUUUUAUUACGAAUUACAGCUUGAUGAUGGGUUGCUUCCAUAGGAUCUAUCGUCCAACUUGCACAAUAGAAAUAUCUUUAAGAGAAUAUGCACAAUAAAUAAUUGGAGAGAAAAGAGAGCAGACUAAAGAUGAAAGUAACAGAAGAAAGAGUGGAGAAUUUUGAAAAAGAAAUUUGAGCUGAGGAUAAUAUAUUGAUAUUCCCUUUGGUUGGCACACGAAAGAGAUACGUCUAUCUACUUAUCUGCAAAUUUGACAAGAGUAAUGGAUGAUGACAUUCAUGCUUCAUCCAUUACAUAAAGAUUGGGACAGAUUUACCUUUUCAAUCAUAGGUGCAAAUGCACCUUUUACUAUCGAAUCUCAUAUAUGAAAAUUUUCAAGCAUACAUAGGAAUCCUUUUAGAAUAGAUAUAUAAUAUAUGUAUAAUAAGUAUGUCUUUUUUAUCACAAUAGAAUAGUAAACGUAAUGAUACUAUGGGCGUACUCUUACCGGAAAUGGCAUGGACCAUGUGUCAUUUUAAUUAUUGGAAUUGUUCCAAUAUUGGAAUGCCAGUCGCAAAAUAUUGGAAUUGUUCCAAAGUUUUAC
rnacentral:lncRNA from 1 species